GGUCUGAACAUUAAGAAUACAAUACACAGGCCGGGCGGGGUGUCUAUUUUAACCAAGUCCAGCUCGAGAAUGUGUUCAAAAUGAAGGCAGAGCUGUUAAGGGCCUCAGAGAUCAUCCAAACCCUCCAUUUUACAGAUUGCAAAAUUCAUUAAAUAAAUACAAGAAUGGACUUGACAACAGGGAGACAGACAUCCUUUAACACAUAACAUAACGACUCUGGGACAAAAGAUACUGGACUCAGAUACAAGUUUUUAAUCACCCAUUACAGUUUUUUUGAAUGUAGCAUAUUGAAUAGAAGCAUAAAAAUAAAGCAAAUACCCACAUGCCCAAUGUCAUCAGAGGUUUUUAAUAACUGCCUUGUUCUUCAGUAUUUCACUCAUACUUUAACUUGUACAACACUUUAAAAGUUACACAGAGAAGGGAAAUUAUUUGUCUUUAUCUAUCUUACCUGGGUAUAGAAUCUGACAAAAAUAUUUGUAAUAUUGUUUUCUGUUUUACAUUUUCAAAAGUGGUCAUUAUUACAUUCCCAAUGUUCAAGUCACACAGAGCAAAGUGGGGAUGUUUAAGUAAAGGCCAGAAUGACCUGGAGACCAGGAGAAAAAGGAAGACGAGGAGGUAGAAGUUUCUUCUCUUCCUCUGGCAGAGGGACCUCAGAAGGCUAGUUUGAACCUACGAGUUUGUGCGUUUAUUCAUUUUCUUUCACUUUGUUCUAGACAGAUGACUAAUUUUUCAGCAGAAGUAGCAGCUUGCUAGGAAGCCGUGUAAAACUGGCAGUGGUUGUGGUGGGGACGUGGGUGGGAGGUGGAAGGGGAGAAGGAAGGGGCAGCCUAUGGGAACGUCCAUUUCCUCUUUCUGGUGACGGAGAAGGAGGGAGGAUGCAUCAAAACCUCAGCCUAACCACUCUGGAAAAAGACCCAGUCUUUUAAAACUGUAUUUUUUUUUUCUUCGUACUUGCCUUCCAACAGCACAGCUCUGGUAGGAACAGGGGCAGGCUGGCCCAUAACAAACAUGGUCAACCACUGCAUGCAAAUAC
rnacentral:lncRNA from 1 species